UUUCCGUAGGUGAACCUGCGGAAGGAUCAUUCACAAUAAGUGUUUUAUGGCUCUUUUUCAAUCCAUCUCCACCUUGUGUGCAAUGUUGUCUUGUAGUGCGAAUGCUUGUCAUUUGCGCUACCGGAUGUAAACAUCAACUCUUAUCUUUUACAUCUUUGUCUAAAACCUGUUUGAAUACUUAAUUCCAAUACAACUUUCAACAACGGAUCUCUUGGCUCUC
rnacentral:misc_RNA from 1 species